UACGGAGGGGGCUAGCGUUGUUCGGAAUUACUGGGCGUAAAGCGCACAUAGGCGGCUUUGUAAGUUAGAGGUGAAAGCCCGGGGCUCAACUCCGGAAUUGCCUUUAAGACUGCAUCGCUAGAAUUGUGGAGAGGUAAGUGGAAUUCCGAGUGUAGAGGUGAAAUUCGUAGAUAUUCGGAAGAACACCAGUGGCGAAGGCGACUUACUGGACACAUAUUGACGCUGAGGUGCGAAAGCGUGGGGAGCAAACAGG
rnacentral:rRNA from 1 species